CCGCUCUUCUUUUCCUCCUUCGGCUCCUCUCGCGCUCUUUCUUCGGCGUCUUGGCUCAGCGCGCUGCCGGUGCUGGUAGAGAUCCAGAGGGUGAUGAAAUUAUGUUGGGAUCAAGGAAGAAACUUGGACAGUAGUCUAAAAGUAACACCUUUUAGAGUCCAAUCAGUGGAUAUCAGUUGAAUGAAUAUCUGCCAACUUGAAGGAAUAUCUGCCAACUCUGAACAGUUACGGCUUCAGAGAAGACAUUUCUAACACACCCCACCCUCUGAAUCAUUGGAUCUGUCUCCAUUCUUUCGGCUUGAAGAAUGUUUUAAAGAAUGUCAAGAAAUAACAGAUCUGCAG